rnacentral:tRNA from 1 species
GGGCUCAUAGCUCAGUUGGUUAGAGCAGCGGACUCAUAAUCCGCGUGUCCAAGGUUCGAAUCCUUGUGGGCCCACCA